rnacentral:ncRNA from 1 species
AAAAAUCUAUGUGAAAAAUUUUACUGUUAAUAAUAAAAAUUAUUAUAGUUUAAAUUAAUUUAUUAAAAAUUUAUUUUACAUAUAAGUUUUAGCAUUAUUUUUUAUUUAUUUUAAUAAUAAAUGAUUUAUUAUUAUUAGUAAUUAAUAUUAAAAAUUUAAGAAAUUAAUAUUUAGAAAUAUUUAAAAUUAAUAACAAAUUUUGUGCCAGCAGUUGCGGUUAUACAAAAAUUAAUAUGAAUUUUAUUGGUAAUUAAAAAUAAUAAUUUAUUUUAAUUAAAUAUUAAAUUAUUAAGUGAAAUUUUAAUUUAUUUAAAAUUAAAAUUAAAAAUUUAGUAUUAAGAAAUUUUUUUAAUAAACUAGGAUUAGAUACCCUAUUAUUUAAAAUUUAAUUUAAAAUACCAAAAUAUUAAUUAAUUUUUUAUGGAAACUUAAAUAAUUUGGCGGUAUUUUAGUUCAUUUAGAGGAAUCUGUUUAAUGAUUGAUAAUCCACGAAUAAAUUUACUUAAUUUAUAAUUUUAUAUAUCGUUGUUAAAAAGAUAUUUUUUUAUAAAAAUAAUAUUUUAAAUUUUGUAUUUAAAAUUAAAUCAGAUCAAGAUGUAGAUAAUAAUUAAGAAUAUAAUGGAUUACAAUAAAUUUAUUUAAAAGGAUUUUAAUUUGUAAAAAUUAAAUAAAAGUGGAUUUAAAUGUAAUUUUAUUUAAUUUAUUAAAAUGAUUUUAAAAUUAAAAUAUGUACAUAUUGCCCGUCGCUUUCAUAUAUAAAUUGAAAUAAGUCGUAACAAAGUAGAGGUACUGGAAAGUGUUUCUAGAAAUAU